rnacentral:lncRNA from 1 species
CGAGCAGCUCCAUCUACAGAUUCACAUGGAGAAGAAUUAAGGGUUCCUGCCAAUCACCAGCACCACUUUGCCAGCCUUGUAAGUGGGCCACCUUGGAAUUGGAGCCUCCAGUUCCUACUGACAUCUGACUGCAACAUCAUGAGAGACCCUGAGUUUGAACCACCCAGCUGAGCUGCUUCUGAGCUAACCCACUGAAACCGUGAAAGUACCUGAAUGAAACAACACCCAGUAGCCACUAGCACACCUAGCUCCCAGAUCUGUUUUUGAUGCCAUUCUUCAGUAAAAGGAAGCAAGGCUGCUUGGAGAAAUUGCUAUCAAGGACUGGGGUAGAAAAUAUACAAGAUGAAAUUGGAGCAUCUUGUAGUGCUUGAAAACAGUUGGCAUCUGUGUGAAGAUGUGAAUGGAGGAGGCAGAGUAGGCAGUGAGUGCCGCAGCCACAGCUUGUGUUCUCUGCAGCCCUGGCACAGAAGAUAGGAACACUCAUGGGGGAUGCGGCCACUGUGAUGUCUUCCCACACAAGAAGUGCCAAGUGCUUUUCUCAUGCUUUUCUGGAUUGUCCCAUGGUGGACGAGUCAGCAGGAGUGAGAUGGAGCAGCACAGUAGAGGGGUACCUGGCAAGGCCCGGAGGGAGGACCCCCUGCCCCAAACAUUUCAAUGAUAUCAGGUGUGCCACCUCUUUGAUCCAGCAAGUGGGAAGAACAGUCCCGGCCUCUUUGCACACAAGACCGUGAUACCAAUGCACCAUCACAGGCCCCACAGGGGAGCUGUCCGCUUCCCCACACAGCUGCUAGGGGCUCUUUUGCAUGUUCCCAACCUUUCCUG